rnacentral:lncRNA from 1 species
GGAUGAUGCAAACAUAUAAGAAUGCAUGUAGUUUUGUGAACAAUUUAAGAAUUACAUAAAGCAUAGGGGUAUAUUUCUAUCCCCUAUCGGACCCUAUGUUAAUUUACACCUUAUCGAACCUAUUCCACUUCUCUCGAAUGUAAGAAACAAGUCAUCAAUACUCACACAAUCAUUGGCCACUAAUUGCGGAAGAAAAUUAAUGCAUGUAAAUCAAUCAAAAUAUCCAACGAAUCUUUAUAUCAAGUUCAUGAAAUAUAGAAUUAAAAUAACAAACAACGGUUCAUCGAUCACCUAGUAAUUAAAACCCUAGCCUAGAAGAUUCAUAAUUACAGAAAACAAAACGAAAUUAAUGACUAGAAGGAAUAACACCCGUAUGAAAGUUCUUGAAAUCUGAAUUCUUGAACAAAACCUUGAAAACCCCUUUGAAUCCUUGUGAAAUCGGCUUCAAGUUUAUGUUCCUUGUCUCCAAAAGUUGUAUUCUUCUUCUCCCUGGACGUUCUGCCCUUUUUCUGAUUAAUUUUGGCUUUUAUAUCAUGUCCCCACGGAGCCCCGAAAGAGUUUCAAUUAAAAACGGGAUUUCAGAAUUUUUUAUCGACCUUAAAGUCAUGCAGCCACAUGGUGUUAAACCAUGCGGUCGCAUGGUUCAAUUUUUCAGCUCAUUUGGAUCCCUGCAAUAACCAUGCGGCCGCAUGGUUAUAAAAUUUUUCCUCCGGACAGCUUUCAGUAUUUUGGUCAUAACUUUCUCUCCUGAUCUCCGAUUGAGGUGAUUCAAAGUGCAUUAGGAAGAAAACUCAAAGAUGUACACUUUUGAUAGAAAUAGGCUUCCUCAAAUUCUGAUGUUUACUAUGCCAAAAAUGGAUCUCAAGUAGAAACUCAAAAUCACGAGCAUAACUUUUUCGCCUGAAAUUUGAUACUUGAUAAUACUUCGACCAUAUUUCACCUCUUAACUCCUUUCCUCAUCCGAUUGAACUUUAACACUCUUGAAUCUUCAUUUCAUUUCUCGUCUCAUCUAUGGAUUAUUUGCAACUUGGUCCUCGAUCUAUCGCUUUGUUCCGUUUUGGUCCUUUUUCGGCUCUUUUCUUCUGAAUUCCAUCUUUUCCAUAGAAACACCUACAUAACAUGAAUUUAAAAAGAUUAUGUCAUAAUUCGACUAUUUUGUCCAUGUUUAAGUCAUGUUAGUGAGCUAAAUAAGUGUGUGAAAACACACUUAUCAAUAGCUCACAUGAAUAUCUUUAAUAUGCAAAUAAUAAUAAUAAUCUCAAAUAGUGGUAGGGCCCAUCACAAGAUACCAAGCAUAAUAUCAAUAUCCAGUCUUUGGACAGAGAUAUUGACUUGUAAGCGGUACUCUUGGCGUAGUGACCAAACAUUGACGAUAAAAUAACGUGUCAAUCAAUAAACCUUUCUUUGGACCGAUUUAUUGAUCACACAUUAAACCAAAUAAUCGUCACACGUUUAUCACCACAGGUGCACGUGUAUUCGGCUAAAUAUUGACCUUCCUUUGGGCCGACCAAUAUUCUCAUGAAUAACACGUGCACAAACACUUUUUAACAUUUUAAGUUAGUCAAUUUUCACAAGAGAUGUUGCUUUGGCAACAUGUUGCUUCAAUUAACUAACUUUCGAAUAUUAUAUCUCUUAAAAG